UGUUGGAAAGGGGAGUCCUGUGUCUAAGUAAAGAUGGAAAACAAGAGUGAGGUUGAUCGUGUUGUCUGGGAAGGAAGAGGGCUCUGACCCCUGCGUCCUGGAGCUCAGGAGACAUUUGGUUCUCUCCGUGGGUGUGGUGUGAAACUCUGCUCAAAGCCAAAGAAGAGCUGCUUCACCCUCCACCGGCUGUGAAAUAGUCAGGACGGCACUGUGCGCUCCUAGAGAGAAAUCCCUGUGGUUUCCUAGGAAGGAAGAAACCCUAGGAAAGUGUCAUGUUUGGUGGGUUUUUGAGUCAGCAAGUGAAGGUAAGAAGAAACUAAAUUUCUGCUUUAAAAAAAAGUGUUCUUUCGCUUAAGAUUUGCCUCAUAGAUGGGACACCUGGGUGGCUCAGUCGGUUAAGCCGCCAACUCUUGACUUAGACUCAGGUCUUGAUUUCGUGGUUCUUGAGAUCGCGUCCAACCCCAAGUUGGGCUCUGUGCUGACAGCAGGGAGCCUGCUUGGGAUUCUCUCUCUCCUGUCUUUCCGCCCGUCACCCACUCAUGCAUGAGCUCUUGCUCUCUUUCUCUAAAAAAUUAGUUAAUUAAUAAAACAGAUUUGCCUCAUAGACAACCAGAGUUUUUGUCAACCAUGUACACCAUCCAUUUAUCCAAGGACCAUUUGACAACAUUGAUGCCCAAAGUGGGCCUCUUGCAGGCAUAGGGUUGGCACAGGGGACAGAACAACGGUGUCCUCUGUGGAGCCUGCAUUCUAAUGGGGGAUGUGCACAAACACUGUAACCUGGAUUCAGUAAUUCUUUCCUUCCACAAAUAUUUAUUAAGUGCCAUUGAGUAAAUUCUACUGUGGCCUAAAGAAACUAAAAAAACACACCUUAAAAAAAUUGAGGUGCCUCAGUGGCUCAGUCCG